ensembl:snoRNA small nucleolar RNA, H/ACA box 36A
UUCCAAAGUGUUGAGUUCAGUUCAGGGCAACUUCCCUGGUCUGAUAAUUAAACUUUGGGACAUUGAAAUGGGCUGUGGGUGACAACUGGAUAAAAAGUACUCCAAGUUCAUCUCUGAGCAUACGGAA